ensembl:lncRNA
CUCUUAAAGGGACAUGAACCUAAUACGGCGAACCAAAGGCAGGCCCAGUUCUAGGGACAUUCCUUGCUCGUCCGGUUUAAAAGGACACCCUGUCACGCUGAAAAACGAGAAGCCAUUAGGGUUAAACCCUAAUGGUUUUGCUGUCUAUUGGGAACCGGCCUAAAAGAGACCACAAGUUCCCUUUAGAAAACCCAUCAAAUGCAUAUAGAUCCAGCCGUUGGUCACCUGUUAAACCGUUAGGAUCCUUUAUAUUGUGAUCUAAACCCAUUAAAAAGCCAGAACAUGUAACAAAAACAGGAACCAACAGAAGCACUUAAUGGUUUCUAUGGGUUUUUCAGCAGAGUGCUUACUUGCCUUCUGCAGAGACACCACAUUUGUCUCUAGAGUGUGCAGUGGGUAGCGCUGUUGCCUCACAGCAAGGGGGCCUGGGUUCGAUUCCCCAGCCGGGGUCCUCUGUGUGUGGAGUUUGCACGUUCUCCCUGUGUCUGCGUGGGUUUCCUCCCACAGUCCAAAGACAUGCAGUCAGACCAGUUGGACAUGCUACAUUCCCCCUAGGUGUGACUGUCUGUCUGCCCUGCAAUGGACUGGUGACCUGUCCAGGGUGUAUCCUGCCUUCCGCCCGAUGACUGCUGGGAUAGGCUCCAGCACGACCCUGAGGGAGAAGCGGCUUAGAAAAUGGAUGGAAGACUCGGAAAGCCCCCGUCUGGUGAUGCAUCUUGAAGGGGGGUGCUGGGGCCUAGUCAUCGGGCGGAAGGCAGGAUACACCCUGGACAGGUCACCAGUCCAUCGCAGAGAAGUCAGACAGUCAUUCACACCCAGGGGCAAUGUAGCAUGUCCAAUUGGCCUGGCUGCAUGUCUUUGAACUGUGGGAGGAAACCGACGCAGGGAGAACAUGCAAACUCCAUACAGAGAGGACCCCAGUCGCCCGACUGGGGAAUCGAACCCAGGCUCUCCUCGCUGCGAGGUGACAGCGCUACCCACCACGCCACCGUGCCACCCGGGUAUAAAAACAUGACAUGAAAAAAAUUAAAAUUAGCCUGUCCAUUUAGCACCAGCUCUGAUAGCAUUGCUGCUAGGACUCAUUUCACGCCACAUACUGAGAGUAAUAACUGUUUUCAAAUCAUCAUUAGUGGAGAGAAUGAAGAAAAACAGGAAUGACUGAGAUAAGGAGGGCAACAAGCUAAAAGCCAAAGUUAGCAAUGUAGCUACCACAGCUGUCUAGAUGAUUUACCUCAGUCUGGCUUUUUUCUCUGGUUGAAAGGAUAAAAAAACUGGAGUCAGUGUUCAUUAAAGACAGAAUUACUGUUUUCUUUACAAACGUUGACAGUUGAGGUGUUAGCCUCAUGCUAGGUCAUUUGUUUUUAUUAGCCUAUACUUCAGUGGCUAGGCUAGCAGUCAGGAUCAGUUAACACCACAGGGAUUCUCAAUGGUUGUAUGAUGUAUAACAGGUACUGUGGUGAAGAAACAUUGAUGAAUGAAAAUAAAAUAGAAAUGUGAGUUCUUCCAAACUGACAGGACUUCCUGACUAGGUUUUAGCUUCACAAAGCCAAAUAAAGUGAAUGUCAGCUCAGGUUUAGUCAAGCUAACGUUAAUCCAUGAUGAAUAACCAGUCGCAUGGAACACGGAGAGGCGCAGGACGGCUUACCAGUCAGCAGCUGAGCGAUUUGAAGAAGAUCCUGCGAUCAUAAUGGCAGAAAGCAGCUCAGUAGUGUAGUGCUGGGGGUGCUGCUGUACACCUAAUUUGCCAAUAGACCAUAAAGCAUGAAGAGAUUUCGGUUUGAGUGGUGUUAGAGGGUUAUUUCUUUAUGUCACUCUGUUUAGUGUUGACCAGUAGCAAUGCUGUUAGUGCUGAAAGGCAUUUGAGUGUUUUGGAUAGGUUUUUGGUUCACUUGCCAUAGUUGUGUUUACUAGCCAGCAGGACCAGCAUGUCAUGUAUGGGGGCAUAUGUGGGAUUUUGUAAUACUUUGUGACCUUGAGAAAAGAGUAUAGGGUCCACCGCCGCUGGAAUCUUGGCCUAGACUGGAUCAAAAGCUGUUCCCAAUCUGUAAUCCCAAAAUUAACCUGCCCCAGAGCAUGUUAGGAUAAAUCAUAAGUUGCCAUGGCAGCAGAUCUUGGUAGAGAGUGAUCCAUCAUCAUAAGGUUCUGGAGUCUAAGCCAGACAUCCUGCACCGUGAGACUCAGGUUGACACCCAAACUCUGAAUAUGUCCUUUGAUUAUCAUUACAAUGGACUGUUAUAAAAGAUCUACGACCUACAAAGACAAGCCUGUCACGCAAGCCGUGAUGCUGACCUCUAGUGGUAAUUCCCUGAUAGUGCAGCUCAAACCCAGCACAGCUCUGCACUGCACAUUUUUGUGUUUUCUCAUUGAAAAUGAGAUCUAUGUAAUUUACUGAGAUCUAUAUAUCUUCCAUCCACACACCACAUGGAUGAUUAUCAUUUUACAUUCAUGCCAUUCAUAUCUACCUUGUCUGUUGAUUUGGCUGGAUUUACUCCAAAUAUCUGCACUAAUAGUGAUUGGCAGCUGUAUCAGAUACAUUUGACUUGAAAGUUAGUCUACUUAGCUAAAUUUAUGAGCUCAAAGAAGUACGAGAUCAAACUUUGAUGAAAAACAUUCCCAAAAUAACAGGAUUUCUUAGUUCACUGCUAUCUGAGGCGUCACCAUGAGUUUGAUCCUUUAGCUAAGAUGCAGCAUUAACACUAGACUGACUAGUUUCUUCCUCUGAAACUGAUGUGGAUUGAAAGUGUCAUUUUAAAGAAAUGGGAAUGUUUGGGACAUUACUGAACACAUUUCUGCCAAGAAAAGGAGAAGAAAGAGUGAACUGUAAGCUUGGUCUUUGUCACAUUUUGUAAAACGCUUAUUAAAAAGCACUGAACUGAAAAAGGCAGCAGGACUAAAACACAGGUCUUUGGCCUUAAUUACUGUCUGUACAGAGAAAAUAAGUGCUCUACACAAUGCUCUUUAUCCGUGACAGGAAUCGACCGUAAUAACACCCUGCCAAGAUGAAAUUAGGCCUAUAAUUGAUUCUUUCUUUGCAAUUCAAGUCACAGUGCUGACCUCUAGUGGUAUAGCUUGGCUCUGGUGUUUUGCAGUCCCUUUACAGUUCAUAUUUUAGUGCUUUGUGCUACAACGCUUGAGAGUCAGUUGGUAUAGUCUAGUAUGCAAGACUGCCAAAGAGCAGCUAAAGUUGCAAACACACCACACUAAGUAAGAGUCCUUUGGCAAGACUCCUAACGCUACAAUUGCUUUGGAUAAGAGCAUCUGCCAUUUUAUUCUGUGAUUGAUGUCAAAACACACACACACACACAUUUUCUAAGCCGCUUCUCCCUCAGGGUCGCGGGGAUGUCAAAACAAUGGCUUAUUAUUUCUAAACUAUAACUGCAUGGUGAAAUAUUGACUUAUUAUA